rnacentral:rRNA from 1 species
AACGAACGCUGGCGGCAGGCCUAACACAUGCAAGUCGAACGCUGUAGCAAUACAGAGUGACGCACGGGUGAGUAACGCGUGGGAACGUGCCCUUUAGUACGGGAUAACAUCGGGAAACUGAUGCUAAUACCGUAUAUUCCCUGAGGGGGAAAGAUUUAUCGCUAAAGGAUCGGCCCGCGUUAGAUUAGGUAGUUGGUGGAGUAAUGGCCUACCAAGCCUACGAUCUAUAGCCGGUCUGAGAGGACGAUCGGCCACACUGGAACUGAGACACGGUCCAGACUCCUACGGGAGGCAGCAGUGGGGAAUAUUGGUCAAUGGGGGAAACCCUGAACCAGCCAUGCCGCGUGAGUGAUGAAGGCCUUAGGGUUGUAAAGCUCUUUCACCGGUGAAGAUAAUGACGGUAACCGGAGAAGAAGCCCCGGCUAACUUCGUGCCAGCCGCCGCAGUAA